UCUCAUUAGUGCUGUUUACAAAGGUCAUUUAAACCUGACCAGUGUCAUUGAGUCCUGCAGAGAUUUGAGCGCUUAUACCCUGACAGCUGAUCUCUUCAUAAAACACAGCACCACAGGGAGCCAUUUAUGACCGACGCUAUAAACACCAAUAGAAUUUUGGUGAUUUAGCGCAUCGGUGGCCAUCAUCUGUCAUAUGGAGCAGAGCAAAGCAGUUGACGUUCCACAACAAGAUGGCAUCAGGAAUCGCAUAAUAAGUCCUUAGGAGAGAAAAACACAGCGCAAAUUUCAAACUACAGUUGGUCAAAUCAUUACAAAACAGGCCCUUAACAAAUCACCCAGGCACUUUCCACAUCUGCUGCAUGUCAGCAUCUGCCAGACGCGCUCACCCGUCCCGGACGCUCACAGCAAGCCUUCAUUACUCCUGCUGCUGAACAGUGCCAUGUAGCAGUAAUCUUCAAAAGAGUGAUGUUUAAGCAGUUUCCCAUUCUAUUGUUCAUCUGUACUCUGGAUAAGAAUAAGGGGACACAGACAAACAAAGAAAACACGCCCAUCCGUAAACAGAUCUCCACCUCAAGACGCAACUACCUGAAUGAUCAGACAUUUAGCAGACCGUCCCAGUGCUCUGAUGAGUUUAUGGGUUAG
rnacentral:lncRNA from 1 species